UCAGACGAUGCGUCAUGCAUAUCAAUAAGCGGAGGAAAAGAAACUAACAAGGAUUCCCCUAGUAACGGCGAGUGAAGCGGGAAGAGCUCAAAUUUGAAAUCUUAAAGGGUUUCCCUUUACGAAUUGUAGUUUAAAGAAGUGUUUUCUGUUGAGGUUUUGGUAAAAGUUCUUUGGAAUAGGACAUCAUAGAGGGCGAGAAUCCCGUAUUUGACCUUUACUUUCAACUUUGUGAUACACUUUCAAAGAGUCGGAUUGUUUGGGAAUGCAGUCCAAAAUGGGUGGUAAAUUUCAUCUAAAGCUAAAUAUUGGCGAGAGACCGAUAGCGAACAAGUACCGUGAGGGAAAGAUGAAAAGAACUUUGAAAAGAGAGUUAAACAGUACGUGAAAUUGUCAAAAGGGAAGCGUUUGACACCAGUGUUGUUUUUCUGAAAAUCAAUUAAAGAACUGUUUAUGCUAAGCUGUUUAGACUUUAUCAGCUAUCUGUUUAGUUUUGAGCUUUUCUUUAAUGCACUUUUCAGUUAGCAAGUCAACAUCAACUUCUUUUGCUGUAAAAAAGCUUGAGGAAGGUGGCUUGAGAUUCGUCUUAAGUGUUUAUAGCCUCUUGCCUAUGCAGUCGGAGAGAUUGAGGUCUGCAGCGUAGAUCCUUCGGGGCUAAAUGCAUUUGUGCUAAGUUAUAGCAUUUUAUAGACAACUUGUUGACUAUGAUUUGUCUUGUAGCUUACUCGCUUAUGUUAUUUUACCUACGCUUAGGAUGUUGACACACGCGCGUGCUCG
rnacentral:rRNA from 1 species